UGUGGGAGCGGGCUUGCUCGCGAAUACGUCGUGUCAGGCGACUCAUCCAUGGCUGAUACAGCGCAUUCGCGAGCAAGCCCGCUCCCACA
rnacentral:misc_RNA from 1 species